UCAGUCUGAAAGUGACCUCAGGUGUGAUAAUGACCUGAGGUCAGAUACCUGAGCCCACAGCACAGAGGCACAUUAAGCUUAUCUCCUGCUGUGUGUCAGCAGCUGAUAAAACCCAUGUGCCCACACAC
rnacentral:snoRNA from 1 species